AGAAGCCCACAGUUUCUCUGCAGAGCACCAAACCGAAACCUCAGCCUGCACCAAGAGAUGGCCACCCGCAGAGCCACUUCCGUGCAGCAACUCCACCACUCACAGUCUGGCCGGUAGCUCAAGCACUCGGAGUCUUUCCCCCAGCCGUGCGCCACCGUCCCUCCGGGUUCCACGUCCGGUUUCUCAGCCACUGGAUUAAGAGCCUCUCCCCUGUUUUCACGCCUAAAAACAGAGGAAUCCUCCCUCCAUCCGUGUGCUGCCAACUUGGCAAUCCUCACCGCCAGCCAUCGCCGCACCACCAUCAGUCCACCGCGCGCUACCUCUGCCCCUCGCUAGGUGCCACCCUCGUCCGCCGUAGCCAGCCCCAGCUCCACGCCGCCGUGCUUUCCCCCACCCUCCGUGACGAUUAAUUUUGGUUCGGCAUUAUUGAGG